GAACUGGCAGCUCUGCCUCUAGACUCUCAUAUGGACAGUGGAUCUCUUGGGACAACUGGUUGAAAGUCUCUCUCUGUCUGUACUGUUACUCCUGGCUGUGUGUGAGUGGGUGAGUGGGCUGGUGCUCUGCUGUGUCUCCAGAGUGAUUUAUCAGGUUUGCAGGGAGGAGACAGAGGGGGAGACAACUCCGGUAGCAGGGCAGGCAGCAGUUACCAGCCUGCUGGCUGGGUGUGUUAACUCCACAUCUGACCUCUAUGGGAACAGAGCAGCCUCCAGUCCUCUCCUUUCCCUCCUCCUGGCAGACUGUGGGAACAAGAAGGACAGAUCUUCAUUUUACCCCCUCUCUCUGCUUCUCACUGGGCUGUCGAGCUCUGGGAAGCAGCCUUGGACAGAGCAGGACAUGACAAGACAGGACAGCUUUGGCAGCGAGAACUCAGCGGGAGACCUGGGCUCUGAGGAUUGCACUGCCGACUGAUUCUUGGAUCUGAAAUGCCACAGUUGGCAAAGUCACGCUGUCAGUCAGGCAGCCAUGCAGUUGUCUCAUCAGUCAUUAGGCAGUCAGAUGAUUAGUUAGUCAGCCAGUAAAUUGGUCAGUGGGGUCCUCCCCUUAGGGUCAACUCUUCCACUGCAUAUCCUCAUCUGAACUCUGAGGUGACUCAGACUUACCGAGUAGCAAAAAUGGACCUAUGGGCAUGGUCACAGGUGCUCCACAGCUGCUGUGGACAAAGGCAUCUGGAGCCCAGGAGGAUGCUGGAGAAGAUACAGAGGGCAGAGAAGGGCAGAGAGAUGCAGGGAGGAUCCAGCCCCUGCCCCCAGCUGUGGUGGGGAGGGUUCCUGGCACCGUGAUUUGAUGCACAAAGAGAAACAAAAAUCACAUUGCCAGGGAUUUCCACUCUAUCACAGCUCAGCAGGUGACCGCGUUAUAUUUCCACAGUGGGAUGCUUUUGUGUAGUCUUCUUGGCUGUGCUGUUUUUUUUUCCAGUUAUUAUCUGACACUGGAUGUUGCUAUGGAGUCGAAGGAAUAAAUAUUGGAGAGGUUAGACGGAUAUUGUGAUCUACUCUCUCAGUGGACUUCAAGAGGAGUCAGUUUCUUGCACAGAAAAUGGCGAAAGAACACGUGUCUCCCUUAAAUACUGUCUAAAUGCAUUUAAUGCUGCAGUUAAAUGUGUAGCUGUCUGAAAUUUAAACUGUCUUCAUUAUUCUCCCCUUUCAAAUCAGCCAGGAAGUCGAUGUAAAUGCACAUGAGAGCCAUAUAGGUUUACACGAUAGAACAAAUUUUUGGAGGCAGAUCACGUUUCGGCUCCUGGAACUUAGAUUUAUAAACAAGGAGACGAUUUUGAUGUUUAAAAUGAAGGCUAAGAUCCUCCAUUGGCAGCACACUCUGAAACACAAUCCAAAUGAGCCACGUUGAAGGCGAAGCAAACCUCAACAUCAUAAGCACUGCAGGCUUUGAAACCCGCCAAACUUUACCACUGAGCAGUCAUGUAAAGGUCUGCGUGAGUCUCUGUUCCCUCAAAAGCCAGCCACACACUUGCUAAAGGCACAGAGCUUAGCUAAUUGGUGAGCAUUGAUCCCUGCUAUGUGUUGUUCACAGUGGCUAAGUUCAGUGCCUGAGGUGAAAUAGUUGAUUCGACGGAGGGGAUUUGUUCCGGUGAAUGGAAAGAACUUGAUGAUCUCGGAUAUGAGGAAAGGAGGAGGGAGGAGGAGAGGAGUGACGAGAGAUUAGGUGGAGAGGGAGGGAGAGAGGCUGGGAAGACAGAAAGACUAAAGGUCCCAUGCAGGAGCUACUUAAGGUUAAAUGUGUUGCUGUGGACCAAAUGCAGGCUUAAAUUUGCAAUACGGUCCAGAUGUAAGACAAGCUGUACCAUUUUUUUUAUAGUGUUUGCCUGAAGCAAUAACUGUCUUAUCUUACCUUAUGCAUCUGGCAAGAAUCAUCAUGCAUACCAAAUAUAUUUGAAAGCGCUUCAGUGAGACAGAUUGACCCAGGUUUAAUGUGGACUUAAAAAUGCCACAGGUUGUAUUGCGAUUUUAGGAAUGUGUUGCUAAAUGUCAGACCCGUCUGGGCAUGUCCAGUUCAGGUCCAACUGAGUUUGCUCAGGACUAGUGUGCCAGUAUUUUGGUGCGACAUGGCGGCCAGCCUGGACUUAUGUGUUGGAGAAGAAACCUGCAUACGCCUCAUUAGCUGUUUGAUAAACCCCUCCCCAAGCAGCGAUUGUCUAAUCAUAGCUUAGCAACCGUAACUAGGCACGACAGGCCUGUCAAGCUUUGAAUUUCUCCACAAGCUAAAGUGGUGUGCAUGGGCCUUAAGAGAGAGUUUGGAGAUUUGUGUCUUUUUAUAGCUUUUUUUAAAACCAAAAACACAAUGGAUUAAAUAGUGUGUUUAUCUGCUCUGACGCAAGCUACAGUUGUUAGUAUAUUACUGUACUAGUAUAUUACUUCCAAGGCCAAGAAGUACAUCAUUAAUUAACAUCAUUAGUCUGUGGAGUUACAGCUUAUGUAAAAAAAAAAAAAAAAAAAAAAAAGCCCUGUUCACAACUAGCUGUGUAUUAUUUCUCCACUGUGUGGAUGUUAUCAGAGUGUAGGCUAACAUUAGCAGCUCUGUCCUGCUCUUUAUUAGAUUUGGGGAAGUUUACAACCAGUCAACUUACUCGACAAAGGUUGGUUAGUCCUCAUCCUAAAACCCUUUUCUCUUGUAACGUUAUAAGUGAAAACAUACUGGUUGAAAAUAACAACACGUAAGGGUUAUGUUAGAGCAAAAUAACAGCCUGGCUUUACAUUUUUCCUGGUCAUGCAUACAAUAAUACUAGGACUAACUAAGCUUUACACUGCAAUACAGGAAGAAUGCUGCUUCUUUAUUUAUUGUCUUCUAUAUUAUAUCAUCAACUGGUGAGGAUGCUAACUUUCUGCCUGGGAUAUUAACCUCAGUGUUUUAGCACAAUAUACUGUAUGUGGCCAAUAAAUGGAUAAAGACCUUUUUUUGUUUGUUUUUUACAAGAUUCUCAUUUUAAAACGAGUCAAAUGGACACAUAAAAAUGUUAGCCGGAGAUAGUGUUUUAAACCGUUAAACCUUCAAACCUAAACUAAUGUUAGCUUAAUUAGCUAGUAGCUAUUGAUCAAAUCUGCCUAUGAUAGCUGUCAUUUCAGCUAGAAAAAUAAGCUAGAAAUGAGACGUUGCAUUUGUCUACUACUUUUUGAAAUGAAGGAAAUUGAUUACUAAGAUUUUUUUGUUGUAAUUCUGCCGCUGUUAUCAUUGUAAACAGCAUACGUGCCAGGAGAGAACGGAAAGCUCGACAGGCGUAGCAGCUGCUGGUAAAUUCACCCUAACACUGUUGUUACAGUGCAUGUUGGGUAUCUAUUUGCCCUGUUGUUGGUUUUAAAAAACGCCUUCUGUAUUAGCAUGCAGAUUGCACACUUGUCAAACGAAGCCAUGUCCGGGCUGUGCCCUCCCGUGCCUACUGAACUGGUAUCAGUGUUUUAUCUGAAAACUGGCUCAGUUCAGCAGGAACAGGAGUGGAGCCCACUAACUAGCGGGAUCAACAUCCCGUGUUACCUCACCAACUUCCACUGAACUAGACAGCCCAGCCCAGAUGCAACAUUUCUCUUACAGUGCUCUAGUGUUUAGUUGACCACACCCACCGGAGAUCAGUGUGGGACGUUUGCCUAGAGUCAGUGGCCCUGAUGAAAAUCAAACCCAAGCCUGCCAACCUGUCAGACAACUGCACUGAACCCUGAAGUCUAUUCAAGGCGGUGCUGCUCACGUUAGAUGACUGUCCCUUUCUUUGCUAAAAUAUGAAUGUUUCAUAAGCAGAUUUACCAUUUUUUGCUUGAUAGGUAGGCUCUGGCGUCCUGAGCUGCUGUGUGAAUACUGUUACAUACUGAUGCAGUCGAUCUUGUUGUUCUGCUCAGCCUUCAUGUUUAAAUUCAGCAUUCUUCCCUUGAAAAGGGUGUAAACACGUCUCUCACUCUUCGCCAGUGUCUGACUCUCUCUCUUUCUUUCUGUCUUUCUGCGCUGUCAAAGGCCAGACUGAGACUGGAUUUCAUUGUCAGGUAAUCCCAGUGAAAUGUCUGCUAUGCCUGUAUAAUUGAUGUCGCCCAGCAGUCCCCAUUAUCAGUGUUUGGGAAUGUGUGCAAUGCUGCUUCCUCCCCACUCUCCAGAUAACUCGCCAGCCACCAAAGGAAAAGUGCUUCAUCUUGAAGAUUUCAUACCCACGGGAAAAUGAAAGCUCAUUAGCAAGCAUGAUGAAUCUGCUCUUAUCCAGCAACUCCAUUGAUUGUGGUCAGCACCAUAAAAUUAUAUUUCUGUUACUUUGAGUUUCUGCGGAUAAAUGAUCCAUUCAAACCUUGAGGAGAUCACGCAAAGAAAGGUUAGAAAGUUGUUUUUUCAUUGUGUCAGCGGUGUGAUAUUGACUUCAGGGCAUUGUUUCAGCCAAGUAGUAUCACUGACAAGUUAGCUAUGAUUUGUGUAAGUAUUUAAUCUAACUGAUUGUGGAAGACAACGGUGCAUGAAGUGCAUUACUCUAAAUGUCAGUAAGUUUCUAACUGCUUUCAACCAAUUGGAGCAUGAUUUAUAUUGAUGUUACAGGUGCAACCAAUGUUUCAUUUCAUUACUAAUCCAGCCACGAUUCAAUGUAAUAAAGUUUCAAUGAGCCCGAAAAA